CUUGUUUUUUACUUUCCUUUGGGGGUUUAAAAGUAACACCAUGCAUGCCUAGAGAACUAGCUGAAUUAAUUUUCUUUCAAGUAUGAUACUACUGUGUCCAAUGAACUUCUACUAAAACAGUGCCAACAAAGAGUGAAGGGACCAAUCAUGAUUAGAUUCAUUUUCCAGUUUAGCUCAAGAUUGUUUGUGAUUACAGUAAUAGGCAAACAGUAAAUUUACCAUAAAGCAUAUUCAUUCCCUUCACAUUGGGUUUACUUCCCCUUUAAAUAAUGUUUGUUUGUUUUUUUAAGCAGGUCAGCCUAACAGAGCAUAUACCAUAUACAAACACAUACAAAUGUAACAUUGCAAACACAUCUACCUGUAUAUUCAAGUAUUCAUGCACAAUUUUAACAAAAGAAUAACUCAAUAAAACAUUAUCUGCAGCGCUUUUAAUUACUUGCAUUUGUCAGAAGGUAGCAGGGAUCUAUAUAACAAUGGCAUACAGAGAGGGCGAGAUGGCAGCUAUGUGUUGCCUUUACCAGUGUAAAUAGAGUCUGCAGCAAAAUAAAUAAAACAUUAAAAAAAAAAUUCUACUAACAUGAAUUGUAUUUUGCACCAUGGUUCUUGACAGGGCAGGUUAUGGAUUCUACAGAUUAAGGCACAAAUACAUUUGUGAAUUCCUCCUUGUUAUCUGGCCAGCAGAUUUUUAGAAGGAAAUAAUACAAUCUUUACAGUCUCAUUCUUUUAUAUAAUUAGGUAGCACAAACAUCCCCUGGCUGCAUUCAAGGUACUGAGAAAUCAGAUCAGGUCAGUUCAGAUCUGCUUCAUGUGUUCCUCAUCUUUCAGACAUUUGGCAACAUCAAAAUGGCUCAUAUUCAUCCAAUGAUCCGCAGUCAGAAUGGAAGGGGGUUGCUGAACACCUUUAACUAUGCACCAUUCUGAAUCAUAAGCAAUCAAUAAAAAUUGCUGAAAUGUUACAACAAUAAAUCAUAAAGGUCUUCUGGAAAUAAAGAGGGCUGCCACCUUCCACACAGUUCUUGGCAUUCCUUCUGAUGGGAAGCAGUUGCCUGUACCAUUUAGCACUUUCUCAUAAAAUGCUUUAAGAUAUGCUGCUCCAGAAUGUGUUUCAGGUUCCUUUAAAAACAGAGGGUACAUUUACUCUGCAAAUCCCCUCCUUUAAAAACAAUUACAUUCUUAUAAAAAGCGUUAAAUAAAAAAAAAUACUGUAAUAAAUUGAUUGAGAAGGUAUAAAAGCAGGACACAUCAGGCAGCAUCCUUU